rnacentral:rRNA from 1 species
UACGAAGGGGGCGAGCGUUGUUCGGAUUUACUGGGCGUAAAGGGCGCGCAGGCGGCUUUGUUUGUCAGGCGUGAAAGCCCCGGGCUUAACCUGGGAACUGCGUUUGAUACGGCAGGGCUAGAGUUCGGGAGAGGAGAGUGGAAUUCCCAGUGUAGAGGUGAAAUUCGUAGAUAUUCGGAGGAACACCAGAAGCGAAGGCGGCCAACUGGCCCGAUACUGACGCUGAGGCGCGAAAGCGUGGGGAGCAAACAGG